rnacentral:rRNA from 1 species
CCUACGGGUGGCAGCAGUGGGGAAUAUUGCACAAUGGGGGAAACCCUGAUGCAGCGACGCCGCGUGAGUGAAGAAGUAAUUCGUUAUGUAAAGCUCUAUCAGCAGGGAAGAAAAUGACGGUACCUGAGUAAGAAGCCCCGGCUAACUACGUGCCAGCAGCCGCGGUAAUACGUAGGGGGGAAGCGUUAUCCGGAUUUACUGGGCGUAAGGGGAGCGUAGACGGCAGUGCAAGACUGGAGUGAACGGGGGGGGCUCAACCCCCGGACUGCUCUGGAAACUGUACGGCUGGAGUGCAGGAGAGGUGAGUGGAAUGCCUGGUGUAGGGGUGAAAUGCGUAGAUAUUAGGAGGAA